AGUGAACGCUGGCGGUAGGCCUAACACAUGCGAGUCGAACGGCAGCACAGUAAGAGCUUGCUCUUACGGGUGGCGAGUGGCGGACGGGUGAGGAAUACAUCGGAAUCUACUUUUUCGUGGGGGAUAACGUAGGGAAACUUACGCUAAUACCGCAUACGACCUACGGGUGAAAGCAGGGGAUCUUCGGACCUUGCGCGAUUGAAUGAGCCGAUGUCGGAUUAGCUAGUUGGCGGGGUAAAGGCCCACCAAGGCGACGAUCCGUAGCUGGUCUGAGAGGAUGAUCAGCCACACUGGAACUGAGACACGGUCCAGACUCCUACGGGAGGCAGCAGUGGGGAAUAUUGGACAAUGGGCGCAAGCCUGAUCCAGCCAUACCGCGUGGGUGAAGAAGGCCUUCGGGUUGUAAAGCCCUUUUGUUGGGAAAGAAAAGCAGCAGGUUAAUACCCCGCUGUUCUGACGGUACCCACAGAAUAAGCACCGGCUAACUUCGUG
rnacentral:rRNA from 1 species